AGACCUUUCUCGCCUUUUGGGCUUAAAGAUCAAGUGGUAGUAUCUGUUGCAAUUAUCAGUUUAAUAUCUGUCAUGGUGGGCCAAUGGUCCACACGCAUAUUAAAUAACAUUUUUAGUGGGGAAGUGCCCGCCACAACUGCUGCUAUUGGGGGCUUUCGAGAGUCUCCCAAGUGUGCACUACGCUCGGGCCAGGCUCCCCCCCA